rnacentral:rRNA from 1 species
GCCGUGGAGUCAAACUACCCAUGCAGCUCGAACGGUAACAGGAAGCAGCUUGCUGCUUCGCUGACGAGUGGCGGACGGGUGAGUAAUGUCUGGGAAACUGCCCGAUGGAGGGGGAUAACUACUGGAAACGGUAGCUAAUACCGCAUAACGUCGCAAGACCAAAGAGGGGGACCUUCGGGCCUCUUGCCAUCGGAUGUGCCCAGAUGGGAUUAGCUUGUUGGUGAGGUAACGGCUCACCAAGGCGACGAUCCCUAGCUGGUCUGAGAGGAUGACCAGCCACACUGGAACUGAGACACGGUCCAGACUCCUACGGGAGGCAGCAGUGGGGAAUAUUGCACAAUGGGCGCAAGCCUGAUGCAGCCAUGCCGCGUGUAUGAAGAAGGCCUUCGGGUUGUAAAGUACUUUCAGCGGGGAGGAAGGGGAUGUGGUUAAUAACCGCAUUCAUUGACGUUACCCGCAGAAGAAGCACCGGCUAACUCCGUGCCAGCAGCCGCGGUAAUACGGAGGGUGCAAGCGUUAAUCGGAAUUACUGGGCGUAAAGCGCACGCAGGCGGUCUGUCAAGUCGGAUGUGAAAUCCCCGGGCUCAACCUGGGAACUGCAUUCGAAACUGGCAGGCUUGAGUCUCGUAGAGGGGGGUAGAAUUCCAGGUGUAGCGGUGAAAUGCGUAGAGAUCUGGAGGAAUACCGGUGGCGAAGGCGGCUCCCUGGACGAAGACUGACGCUCAGGUGCGAAAGCGUGGGGAGCAAACAGGAUUAGAUACUCCUGGUAGUCCACGCCGUAAACGAUGUCUAUUUGGAGGUUGUGCCCUUGAGGCGUGGCUUCCGGAGCUAACGCGUUAAAUAGACCGCCUGGGGAGUACGGGCCGCAAGGGUUAAAACUCAAAUGAAUUGGACGGGGGCUCUGCACUAGGCGGUGGGAUCAUGUGGGUUUAAUUCCAAUGCCAACGUGAAUAACCUUUACCUGGGUCUUGACAUCCACCAGAAUUUUGGCAGAAGAUGCCUUGGGGGCCUUCGGGAACCUGUGAGAACCGGGUGCUGCAUGGAUGGCCG